AACCAUCACUAUUUCAAAAAAUUCGAAGAAGAAAAGCACGCUUAAGAAAGUGAUAUUGGUGGUGUAGGCGCGACGCUGAUUCAGUUUCAACAAUGGAUAAGUUCUUGAACCGUACAACGAAGGAAAAUAUUGAAGGUCCGUCGCCUAAAAGAAAGCGAGAAACAUCAUGUGUGUGGCAGCACUUUAAGAAAACCGAGGACAAGACUAAGGCCACCUGCAUUCACUGUGGGAAAACGUUAAAAACGGCAGGAAACACAACUAACUUAAUGGACCACCUCAAACGUAUACAUCCAAACUAUAGUGUUUUAGAAAUAGAUGGUCAGUCUCCAAGUCUAGAUAGUUUCAUGCAACGAAAUAUAGAGUAUCCGCCAGAGUCCCAAAA